ACGCUCGACACCUACGGGAGGCUGCAGUGGGGAAUAUUGCACAAUGGGGGAAACCCUGAUGCAGCGACGCCGCGUGAAGGAAGAAGUAUUUCGGUAUGUAAACUUCUAUCAGCAGGGAAGAAAAUGACGGUACCUGACUAAGAAGCCCCGGCUAACUACGUGCCANNCGCGAGUAUGAGCGGCGUGNAG
rnacentral:rRNA from 1 species